CACGUAGGGCGCGAGCGUUGUCCGGAAUUAUUGGGCGUAAAGAGCUCGCAGGCGGCCUGUUGCGUCCGCUGUGAAAGCCCGGGGCUUAACCCCGGGUCGGCAGUGGAUACGGGCAGACUAGAGUGCGGUAGGGGGAGACUGGAAUUCCUGGUGUAGCGGUGGAAUGCGCAGAUAUCAGGAGGAACACCGAUGGCGAAGGCAGGUCUCUGGGCCACUACUGACGCUGAGAAGCGAAAGCAUGGGGAGCGAACAGG
rnacentral:rRNA from 1 species